rnacentral:rRNA from 1 species
UACAGAGGGUGCGAGCGUUAAUCGGAUUUACUGGGCGUAAAGCGUGCGUAGGCGGCUUUUUAAGUCGGAUGUGAAAUCCCCGAGCUUAACUUGGGAAUUGCAUUCGAUACUGGGAAGCUAGAGUAUGGGAGAGGAUGGUAGAAUUCCAGGUGUAGCGGUGAAAUGCGUAGAUAUCUGGAGGAACACCGGUGGCGAAGGCGGCAUCCUGGACCGGUAUUGACGCUGAUGCGCGAAAGCCAGGGGAGCAAACGGG